rnacentral:rRNA from 1 species
UUACGGAGGAUGCAAGNGUUAUCNGGAUUCAUUGGGUUUAAAGGGUGCGCAGGCGGAUUGGUAAGUCAGGGGUGAAAUCCCACAGCUCAACUGUGGAACUGCCUUUGAUACUGUCAGUCUAGAGUAUAGUUGAAGUUGGCGGAAUGUGUCAUGUAGCGGUGAAAUGCUUAGAUAUGACACAGAACACCGAUCGCGAAGGCAGCUAGCUAAGCUAUAACUGACGCUCAUGCACGAAAGCGUGGGGAUCAAACAGGAUUAGAUACCCUGGUAGUCCACGCUGUAAACGAUGAUUACUCGAUGUUGGCGAUACACAGUCAGCGUCUGAGCGAAAGCAAUAAGUAAUCCACCUGGGGAGUACGAUCGCAAGAUUGAAACUCAAAGGAAUUGACGGGGGCCCGCACAAGCGGAGGAGCAUGUGGUUUAAUUCGAUGAUACGCGAGGAACCUUACCUGGGCUCGAACGUAAGAUGACUGUAGGUGAAAGCUUACCUCUUCGGAGCAUUUUACGAGGUGCUGCAUGGUUGUCGUCAGCUCGUGCCGUGAGGUGUCGGGUUAAGUCCCAUAACGAGCGCAACCCCUACCUUUAGUUGCCAUCAGGUCAUGCUGGGGACUCUAAAGGAACUGCCUACGCAAGUAGUGAGGAAGGCGGGGAUGACGUCAAAUCAGCACGGCCCUUACGUCCAGGGCUACACACGUGCUACAAUGGCCGAUACAGAGGGCAGCUACCUGGUGACAGGAUGCAAAUCUCCAAAGUCGGUCUCAGUUCGGAUCGGAGUCUGCAACCCGACUCCGUGAAGUUGGAUUCGCUAGUAAUCGCGCAUCAGCCAUGGCGCGGUGAAUACGUUCCCGGGCCUUGUACACACCGCCCGUCAAGCCAUGGAAGCUGGGGGGACCUAAAGUCGAUAACCGAAGGAGUCGCCUAGGGUAAAACCAGUGACUGGGGCUAAGUCGUAACAAGGUAACC